UGGUAUGUCAAAGAUCUAAGCGAAACGUCAGUAAUUCAUUAGCAGAAGCCAAGAUGGGGACUGAGUUGUGUAGAGUUGUAGUUGGAUGUUUUUGUAUAGUGAAUUAUUCUCCAUAAAAAUGUAUAUGUGUCUAAAAUUGUGACAAUAACGUUUGUGAAUAAUUUUAAUGGAAUUUUUAAACCAUUCUUGAACUUUGAGUUUAACUAUGGACGGACAAAGGGCGUUAGAGUUAAUGCCUCUCCUUCAAGAACGUUUAGUGAUAUUAACAGGAGGACGCGACCGACGUGGUGGACCAGUUUUGUCGUUUCCGGCAAAUCCUCGAAGGGAACGUGCCAAACCUGAAGAUUAUCGGAAAGUUCUACAAUACUUGAUGUCCAUACCAAGCGAGGAAGCUCGAGGUCUGGGUUUUACAGUACUGGUAGAUAUGAGAGGUUCCACGUGGUCUACUGUCAAACCUAUAUUGAAGGCACUGCAUGAAAACUUUCCGCCCGGCACAAUCCAUCAAGCGCUCAUAGUCAAACCUGACAACUUUUGGCAGAAGCAAAGGACAUCGCUUGGAUCGCAUAAAUACAAGUUUGAGACCAACAUGAUAAGUAUCGAAGCUUUGCCGAAAAUAAUUGACAGUAGCCAACUGACAUCAGACUUAGAAGGUGCUUUAUCUUAUGAUCAUGCUCAUUGGCUUGAAGUUAGAUUGGCUAUUGAAGAAUUUGCAUGGCAAGCCGCCGACCUAUUGGAUAGAUUAGAUGACUUACAGGAAGACUUGGCGAGAAAUGAUUUUGCUGAUGAUGUGAGCGGGGCAAAGCAUAAAAUUGAUCUGCACAAUGAAAUGAAAAAGAAGAUUAUGAAAGCACCGGUUGAUGAUAUUGAUUUAUUAGGUCAGCGUUUGUUACAAAAGUCUUGUGGUCUCGACACGGGUCAAGGCGGAGGAGGGGGAGGCGGCGGAGGGGUAGGCGGAGUAAGAGAACCAGAAUCUCCUAACAAUACGAAUUCUGAUCUGUUAGGUACCAAAAACUUAGUUUUACAAAAUUUAGAGGCAGUUCACUCUUCACAACAGCACCUCCUUCAACUGUGGCACCACAAAAAGCUCAAAUUGGACCAGUGCUUUCAGUUGCGGUUAUUUGAACAGGAUUGUGAAAAAAUGUUUGAGUGGAUCUGCCACAACAAAGACGUCUUCCUUCUUAAUUACGUAGAAAUAGGCCACACUUACCAGCUAGCGAAGCAACUUCAAGAAGAACAUCAACAUUUUACAAUGAGUUCAAUGAACGUUUACGUGAAUAUUAAUCGUAUACUUUCGGUCGCGUCGCGUCUUAUCGAAGGCGGUCAUUAUGCCGCGUCGCAUAUACGCUCGGUUGCCGGACGGUUAGAUCGUACGUGGAAAGAUUUUGCAGCUGGAUUAGAUGAAAGAACUGCGGUGUUGGCAUUGUCUGUGAUUUUUCACCAUAAGGCGGAACAAUAUGUGGAGAAUGUGCCUUCAUGGAAAUCUGCAUCAGAAACAGGGAAUAUCCCUUCAGAGAUUAUGAUGUUGGAAAAUUCGAUACACCAACAUCAAAACUUAUACGAAUCUAUGUGUCAAGCAUAUACAGAGGUUCAUAGUACCAGUAAGAAACUACUUUAUCAGUUGGACCACUUAGUUCAGGUCUGCAAUCAACCUGGGAAGGAUAAAAAACAUGGCGAAGGAACAAAUUUUGAAAACAGACCAGGUGGUAAUCCUGCUGCCGAUUAUAGCGAAGGAGCUAGUCACGUUUUAGCAGUAAUACAUCAAAUUUUAAAUCACCAUAGAGCACUCGAGCAAAAAUGGCACGCUAAAAAGAUCAAACUUCAUCAAAGGCUGGCAUUGAGAUUAUUUCAAGAAGAUGUUAAACAGGUAUUGGAUUGGUUAGCAAAUCAUGGGGAAGUAUUUAUUAGGAAAAAUACCGGCAUUGGGCGGAAUCUUCAGAAAGCUAGAGUUUACCAAAAAAGUCACGAACACUUUGAAAAUGUAGCACAGAAUACUUACACCAAUGCCGAUAAGCUUCUUGCAGCAGCCGAAGAACUAGCCCAUACCGGCGAAUGUGAUCCGGAUGAGAUUUAUUCAGUAGCACACGAACUCGAAGCGCACGUCACCUCAUUUGCAGCUAGGGUAGAACAAAGGAGACGAAGACUCGAUUUAGCCGUAUUAUUCUAUACUCAUGAAAAGGAUUUAAGUAAUUGGGUUGAUGAUCUAAGGCAAGAAUUACAGAAUGAUGAAAGUGUAGCCGAAAGUUUAGAAGCAACAGAAAGACUUCUUGAACAAACUGCACAACAUCGUGAACAAAGCCUCGAUGCUUGCGCUUCGACAAUUGCACAAGGGGAAGCACUUCUCCAAGAACUGAGGUCUAUUGCUGAAAUGGACACAACUGGUUCAGUAGCUGCAAUAGAAUCUGCUCUGGACCGAUUAGCGAAACAAAGAAACGAUCUCGAAGAACUUUGGGCGGCGAGGAAGCUUCGAUUAGAUCUGUGUUUGAGAUUAAGACUUUUUGAAAGAGACGCUCUUGAGGUUUCCUCUCAACUUGAAAUGUGGUCAGAAGAACUUCAACAUAGUGAACUAACCAGAGAUAUACCGAAAGCAGAACAAUUUUUGAGAUUGCACAACGAAAGCGUCAGUCAAAUGCAGAAUACGACCUACCAAGUUCUGCAACAAGGUCAGGAUUUGGUACAGGUGUUUGAAAAUUCUGGAAUAUGUGUUAUGGCUGAUGCUCAGUACAACGCUCAGACUAGGGUUCAAGUUCUACUUGAAUUUCUUCAUGACAGAGAAAUGGAUCUAGAAGAAUUGGCAGAAUUAAAACGUGUUAAGCUUGAACAGUGCAUUCAACUCGGCCAAUUUCAAAAUGAUGCUAACCAAGUGAUCAGCUGGAUAAGGAAUGGAGAAUCUAUGCUAAUGGCCAGUUUUACGAUACCCAAUAGUUUAGGUGAUGCCGAACUUUUGAAAAAAGAACAUGAACAAUUUCAAGUGGCCAUCGAAAAAACACAUACCUCAGCUGUUCAAGUUAAACAUCGAGCAGAUACUUUAAUCAAUGCCAAUCAUUACGAUCCACAAAGUAUCAAAGAUAUUUCUGAAGAAGUUACCAAGAGAUGGCAGCAGUUGGUAACAUGCGCUGAAGAACGACACAAAUUAGUGACGGCCAGUUUAAACUUUUAUAAAACUGCUGAACAAGUUUGCUCUGUUUUGGACAGCUUGGAAAGGGAAUAUAGGAGGGAUGAAGAUUGGUGCGCCACUGGACAAGCAAACAUUGACAAAGCCACCGCCAUAUCCCAACUAAUUAACAAACAUCAAGAACAAAAAGAAGCUUUUUUGAAGGCUUGUACAUUAGCACGAAGAACAGCUGAAACAUUUUUGAAAUAUACAACUAGAAGUUUGCAGUUUUAUAAUUAUCCAAGUAGCAGUGGCAAUCACGAAGCUAGAGUGAAGGGUAUUCUAGAAAAAUUAUUAAAUCAAGAAAAUAAAGUUUUGGAGCAUUGGACUCAAAGGAAAAAGAAGUUGGACCAAUGUCAACAAUUUGUUUUAUUUGAGAGAUCUGCCAAACAAGCUAUUGAAUGGAUUCACGAAACAGGUGAAUGUUACCUAACCACACAUGCAACGAAUCUCGGCAACAAUAUCGAAGAAACUGAAAGUUUAUUACGCGAACACAACGAAUUUAAAGGAACUGCCAAGGAAACUCGGGAAAGAGUCAAGUUACUUAUUCAACUUGCUGAUAGUCUUGUAGAAAAAGGUCACGCUCACGCAUGCUCCAUCAAACAAUGGGUAGAAGCUGUUGACAAUAGAUAUAAGAACUUUAGCUCGCGAAUGGAAAAUUAUCGACAGCAACUAGAAGAAACUUUGGGUAUCCAAGAAGAAGAAAGUGAAAAGAAAGAACUUUCCAUUGAUCGAAAUUCUGAUCCUAACUUGGAAGCUAAAGUAAAAGAAGCUGCUGCAAAAGAAUUGAAGGAAUUGAAUGAGGAGAAAAGGAGGUCUGCUAGAAGAAAAGAAUUUAUCAUGGCCGAAUUGUUACAAACGGAACGUACCUACGUCAAAGAUUUGGAAACUUGCAUAACUUGUUUCCUCGACGAAAUGAGAAAUUCCUCAGCAGUCACCGCUUCGCUUCAUUCCAAAGAAAACAUAAUUUUUGGCAAUAUGGAAGAAAUAUAUGAAUUUCAUAAUUCUAUUUUUUUAAAGGAACUCGAAAAAUAUGAAACGAUGCCUGAAGAUGUUGGGCAUUGUUUCGUAACAUGGGCUCAGAAAUUUGAUAUGUAUGUUACCUACUGUAAAAAUAAACCCGAGAGCAAUAGUCUGUUGGUGCAACAUGGAGGUGGGUAUUUUGAAGAACUACAGAAGAAACACAAAGUUGAACAUCCCAUCGCCGCUUAUUUAAUUAAACCGGUUCAGAGAAUCACCAAGUACCAGUUGCUGCUGAAAGAUUUACAGAGCUGCUGUGAAGAAGGUCAAGGAGAAAUUAAGGAUGGUUUGGAAGUAAUGCUCAAUGUUCCCAAAAAAGCAAACGACGCAAUGCACUUGUCCUUACUCGAAGGCUGUGAUAUAUCCUCGGACAAGUUAGGCGAAGUAGUUCUACAAGACGCUUUCAGCGUUUGGGAUCCAAAACAACUAAUUAGAAAAGGCAGAGACCGACAUAUUUUCCUUUUCGAAAUGUAUCUCUUAUUUACCAAAGAAGUUAAGGAUUCCGUUGGGAAAGUGAAGUACAUCUACAAAAACAAAUUAAUGACUUCUGAACUGGGAGUAACAGAACAUAUGGAAGGCGAUGAAUGCAAAUUUGCAGUUUGGACUGGUCGUGCCCCAAUUUCUGAUUAUCGCAUUGUACUUAGAGCUUCUUCACUUGAAACCAAACAAUUGUGGGUGAAGAAGUUAAGGGAAGUUAUACAAGAAACAUAUUUCAGCGGAGCAUUACCGCUUUCACUGCCCAAGAGCCCUGCAAAACUGAAACCUCAUAGCCAAAGAUCUAGUCGGGAUAUGGAAGAAUGCAAUUCUUUAGAUGAAAGCGUCGAAAAUUUAGAUAGGAAUUCUUUGACUUCCUUUGGCUCGGGUAAUACUACAGACUCCGAUAAGGCUGGAGUUCUGGAAAUGACAUGGGUUAUGAGCGACUUCACAGCUACCAAUCCUCUCGAAUUGAGCGUAACGAAAGGCCAACAAGUCGAAGUCGUAGAGGUAUGUGCUUCGAAACCAGACUUCUGUUUGGUUAGGAUGCCGACCAGAGGUACAGCAGAUCACGAAUCUGCUGUAAUACCCGAAGGAUUGGUACCUCUUGCUGUUUUGAAACAACCACCUCCGCAUAGAGGCUCUCCCUCUAGAAGAAUAAAUCCAUCAUCGGAGCAGGAUAUUGAGUCAACAGUACAAAAUGACACGUCUAGUGCAGUCAAUACAUCAUCACCUGUAAUUAAACGAAGAGGUUUUAGCGGACGGAAAUGGCUGCCACCUCCACUACGAAAACUGUCACAGGGUAAAGUGGAUAAAGCGCAAGCCAACACACCUCCACCCCUUAAAAAGACUGGUUCCGAUAAGAGAAUAAAGGUGCCAUCCGAAAUGGGCAAUAAGCCCUCAGUGUCAGAAGGUGAAGAGGAAGAAGAACGAUCCACACAUACCUUGAAGGGUGUUAAAUCUCUUGGUGCAGAAUUGGCGAACGGCAGUGGGGUAACUGAUGAAGCCGAUGAAGAAUUUGAACUACCACCGCCCAUGAAACCAAUUCAGGAACCAAUUUUGGUGACAUCACCUCCCCCUGGAGUUCCUGGUGUUCCCGAAAUCGAAGAGAAUCCUUGUAAAAGGGUCUCUAGCUUAACGUUAAAAUCACUUGAAGGUGCUACAUCUGCGGAUUUGGCCGAAAUUGAACAGAUAGUAAAGGAGAGAAUGGAACAGCAUUCCGAAAAUCAAGAACGUCAUUCCUUAAUGAGAGAUGCCAAAUCAGAAAAUGCCAUUUCGGACUACGGCGGAGAUCUUUCAGCUCAAGGGUUUUCUAAUGAAGCGACUGCAUCAGCAUUCAGCGGUGAUGAAAGUGACAAACCUUCUGAAGAUAAUAUAGAUGCAGCCAAAAAGACGGAAAUUCUCCUCAAAAAGAGAGAAUAUGUUUUAAAAGAAUUAACCGAUACAGAAGAAACAUACGUUAGAGAUUUGUCUCUUAUAGUUGAUGGUUACAUAGCUACUAUGAAAGAUCCUGAUUGUGAUAUACCUAUGCCGGAAGAUUUGAAGGAUGGUAAAGACAAAUUAGUGUUUGGAAACAUUGAGGUUAUCUAUGAUUGGCAUAAAAAUUUCUUCAUUAAAUCAUUAAAAAAGGCCGUAGAGAAUCCUAUUGAACUAGCUUCGCUUUUCAAACGUUAUGAACGCAAAUUGCAAAUGUACGUUAUCUAUUGUAAGAAUAAACAUGUAUCCGAAUAUAUUGUUUCCGAAUAUCUAGAAACUUAUUUUGAAGAACUACGGGUAAAAUUAGGACACAAAUUACAAUUAUGCGAUCUGUUAAUAAAACCAGUUCAAAGAAUCAUGAAGUAUCAAUUGAUGCUUAAAGACAUUUUAAAAUACACGGAGAGAGCUGGAAUUACAGCGGAAAUUGAACCGCUCAGAGCGGCAUAUAACAUUAUGGUGAUUGUACCAAAGACUGCUAAUGAUAUGAUGGAUGUUGGAAGAUUACAAGGCUUUGAGGGUAAAAUUACCGCACAAGGAACACUUCUUCUUCACGGAAUGUUAACUGUAUCCGAUUUACCGGGAUCAAAUCAGAUCGUCGGGAAAAAUAAGGACCUACACGUAUUUUUCUUUGAACAAAGUAUUAUAUUUUCAGAAGUCGUGGGAAAAAAGACUCAGUUCACUAGUCCUCAAUAUAUUUAUAAAGCUCAUAUACAAGUUAAUAAAAUGUCCCUAGAAACCAACGACGACUGUUUCAUAUUGGAAUCAACAGAUCCUUCUCGUAGUUUAGGAUUCGUAAUACAAGCUGCUACGCCUGAAUUACAACAACAAUGGAUGAUUACAAUACACGAUACCCUCCAAAAACAGAGGGACUUCCUCAAAGCUAUCCAAAGUCCCAUAGCUUAUCAAAAAGAGUUGACUACUAAAGAAGCUUCCUUAUCCGAUUUAUCAGUAUGGGAAGUGGCACAUCUGAGAAGAGCCCUUCCGCAAGGGUCACCUUCUGAACCUAGCAAAAUGCAUCGCAAAAAUCAUUACGUACAUAAAGCGAACACUAUCGGUAUUCCUUCCGAAGAUGAUUUGAAUGAUAGCAAAAACAAUAAUCCACGACCAAGACUGAACUUUUUCGAAGGAUUUAAGAAUACUUUGAGAAACAAACAUAAAAGUGACACUGUAGUAUUAGAAGCCGCGAAAGAAAAUAGUGAGAAAGGUGAUAUGCACAGGAGGUGGUCCGAAGCCAAUCAACACACGGUUUCGUAAAUAAAGAGCUUCAAAUACUACCAACUAACCAUACAAGAUGGCUGUGAUAUGUUAUAUUAAGAUAAAAUACAUGUAAAACUAUUUAUUGCCGUUAGUUUUAACUAUAUUAACAAGUUGAUAUGGAACUCUUUGGGAUUGCCAGUCUACACAACUUUCUAUUUUAAAAAUGGGCGUGUUCAGUUAUACAUAACUGCCAAGUAUCAAAUUUUUAUUCCGAUUAUGAGAAAAAUCGACUUGGAAAAAGUCAAGUUUUGAUACUUGGACAACUUGUGUACCUACAUAUAUUGAUAUUGAGCAAGUCGAUGGUAUAACUGCAGUUUUUAAUAAAUUAACAAAUAUUGUGAAAUUCUGGAAUAUCGAUUAUUAGCAAAUCAUUUCUUUUGGAGAAAACAAUCGAUAUGGUUUAUUUACCUGAAGUACCUGCAAAAGAUUUAAAUUUAACAAAUGCUUGAAUGUGAAUGGAAAGCAAGAAAGUCAACGAAAGUUAUGAUCUGUUGAAAGAAUUAUAUUCCAACCUGCCAUCCAUAUCACAAGGUACUGUAUAGAAAUGUAGAGAAAAAAAUAAACAAAAAUGAGCAUGUAAAAGAAACUUAUCAGCAAACUACCGUUAAUAAAUGCCUCGCCCUAAUUAAAACUAGUCAGUCAUCGGUAGUUUAAGAACGUGAAAUGCAUCAUUACAAGUUGCUAAUAAUGUAGAAGUAAUUACAAGAUGAUUCCAAUUGAGGAACAACAAGCAACAAUUAAUAGUUAAGAAUUCGUACUCAUAUUUAAUGGAGUAUAAUAUUUGGAAUUCUUGCAAAAAUAGUGUCACAAUUAAUUAAUUAAUUAAUUAAUUGGUUUCUUAACUUUGUACAUGUUCAUGCACCGAAUAGAGUCAAAACAUCCAAUUCUUCAGAAUUAUUUACAUACAUGAAAAGCAAAUAGUCAAUGGACAACAUUAUGAGUUUUUAAUUACUUAUUAUAAUAGUUUUGUUAUUGCUCGUUUCGUAACUUGGUUUCUUUUUUACUUUGUAAUUGGUAUAGAAAAGAAAUUGAUAUUUGGCAUGUAUUUAAAAACUAUUAGAUAGCUUAUAGAAAUAGCCAUUAACGUGACAGUAUUCCGAUUUAACAGAAUCAAAAAUGAAGGCAAAUCUUUGAAGGGACAUCUUAUAUACAUUAGUAUUGCAUGUAAAAUAUCGACAUUGGAAAUAAUCAUCGACGAGCUGAAAGAUAAAAAUUCAUGAAACCACAAUACCACUUAAGCGCUUUACAAGGAUAUUUUCUUAAUGCUAAAAAAAUUAUCUUACGAUCUGUACGGGACAAGAACGGCUUUCAGAUUUAUCCCUGUUGUCUAUAGAGACCAAACACUAUAAUAUAUAGUCUUCUGCUAUAGAGAAAUAGAAAUUAAUAAAUUUGCCGAAAAGGGGGAAACGAGUGUUUGUUUAUACCACUCGACCACUGAAGCGAAGAAAGCUUAUAUAAAGCAUGAGCGUUACAAAGAUAUUUUCUAAAUGCUAAAAAAAUUAUCUAAGGACCUGUACGGCAGGUUCAGAUUUGUUCCUGUUAUCUAUAGAGACCUAGGCGCAUUUAUUGCAAGUGAUAAGUAAUACUCAUAAAUAUUUUGAUAUUAUAUAAUAUCAAUGCUUUUGUUUCUUCAUAAAAAAUGUUGGGUUUCUCUGCAGUUAGGUUGAAGUGAAUCCAACAAAUUUUGAUUCAGGGUUCAUCUAGCGUCAGCUAUGUCGAAGAUUUAAAAAAAUGUAUUUGAACUAUUGAAUUUAUUUCCAAUUAGACUUUUUUAGUAUAUUUAAAUGUAGAAGUUCUAUUAUCUUGAGAAUGCUUUUGGUUUUUUGUGCUAUGGUUUAGGUGUGAUAUUAGUUGUACUGUGAGUAUUUGCAUUGAUAUUUAAUAAAACUUACCGUUGUGCUAAAGUAAAAUACAAAAAUAUUUCUAGUUCACUUGUUGGUUUGGUAGAAAAAGGAUAAGUAUUUUAUGCCAUUAUUACAGAUUUCCGUUAAUAUCUAUAUCUAAUUGCUGUUCUAGAUUGCUUACACUAGCACUUAUAAACCAUACAGGGGUUAUAGAACUGAUUCAUUUUAUUGUAUAGCGUAAGCUUUGAGUAGAAAUGUGUUUUCAAAUUGAUGCCUUUUGUAUUUACUAUAACGGCAAUAAACAAAUCAUAGUUUCCUAAUGUCGAUUGAUGUGAAAUUUUUCCAAUCACUCGAUUAAAGUUGAAAAACACAUCUAAAAAGCCUGGAAAUUUUAAUUGAACCUAAUAUUAUGUAUACUGAGAUACAAAAUAGAAUUACUAAACUGAUAAUUGGAUUGGAACCUUUGAUAGGAAACUAAGAGUCAUAUGUCCAAAACAUAUAUAUUGAUAAAUCAUCUACAAAAGAUGAUAUUUGUACAUACAUUUCAACGGAGCGUUAAGACAUUGUGAAUCUUUAAGAUGGAAAUUAUUUUAUUUAGCUGAAGUAUAAACUUCCAGAAUUAAAUAGAAUUCAUAGCCAAAGUAGCAUUUCAUAGAUUAAGCUUCCAGCUGGUACAGGAUGUUGCUAUUAGAAUCAUUAUUAUAGAUACAGAUACGAGGUUUAGAAAUAACAGUGACAUAAUAUGCUUAUAGUACUUACUGCACUCAGUAUAAUAUAAAACGUUUCAACGUGGACCACCUAUAUAGAGAUAUAAUAAUGCCUACUAAUUUUUUCAUCUUCGUAGUUGCCUAUGGAAUUCAGAGUGGAGUGCCUAUUGAAUUCAUAAAAAGAGAUUUGUUAAUAAUAUAUCUCUAAGUUCAUCAUCUAACCAAUUUUAUUGUACCAGUUUUCGAUAUUAUCCCCAACUUCAAAAAUUUUCACAGAAAUUAACCUUUUUUCAAUUUAUUUCAGUGGAAAACUUAUAACAAUUAGAUAGUUACUGGUUUUAUAACAAUUUCGAAUGUUUCGUACCUAAUUGUUAUUAAAGAAUUACCAUAACUAUGAGGUAUUUACAAAAAGGGCAUAUUCUAUAUAUUUGUAUAUUUAGAGAACAAAAGUUGGUGUUAUAAAACUAUUAGUAUGGCAUUAUUGAGAUUACUGAUAUAUUUCUGGUGAACCAACCCAUUAAAAUUGUAUAAAGUAAUGUUUUUUCCAAAAUUUUCAGUAUAAAGUACAAAUUUUUCUAUUUAAUAUGAAACAGAAUUUAAAUAUGGCUACAAACAAGAAGUUUUUGGAGUAUUUAUUUAAUUAUAAUCUACAAGUGCGCUUUAAUGGAAGUACUUUUCAUAGAUUCGCAACACGUUCGCUACUAUCUAUCAAAGUUUUACAUAAAUCAGACUGAGAUAUGACUUUUAAUACUUAGUUAAAAAAACUGUAGUUUAGUAAAUAUAUAGAAAACAGAAUUUCGAGUGUUUCAUGUAAAAAACGAUUUUAAAAACAAAGUCUCAUAAAUAUCCUUAAAGUGCUUCGUCUCAUGGAAUGAUUUGCAUAUGGUUCUCUUCUUUUAAAACUUUUCAAAUGAACACGGAUGAUAUUGAACGUCCAGGACAGUAAGCAUAUAAGAUUAUUUACGUAGUAAGCAUUUUAUCAGAACGGGUAUGCAAUAUUUUACAUGAAUAAUCUAUCUGCAAAGUGGAUGCAAUGAUUACUUGAUGCUGAUCAAAAGCUCUUUCGCAUGAAAAAUGUAACCCAAUGUUUCCAUAUUCUCAAACG